AAUAUGUUGCAGGCAGUUUACAAAACUUCUAAAUAUACUUCUUCUGAAUUACUCACAGCAAUCUGCAGCCUGUCAUUUCCAUUUAAGUAAUUUACUUUUGAUCCAAGAUGGUGGCCAAUGGUGUGCCUCAGGGAUCUGUUCUGGGACCCCUACUGUUUGUGAUUUUUAUAAAUGACCUGGAUGAAGAAGUGGAGGGAUGGGUUAGUAAAUUUGCUGAUGACACAAAGGUUGGGGGUGUUGUGGAUAGUGUGGAGGGCUGUCAGAGGUUACAACAGGACAUUGAUAGGAUGCAAAACUGGGCUGAGAAGUGGAAGAUGGAGUUCAACCCAGAUAGGUAUGAGGUGGUUCAUUUUGGUAGGUCAAAUAUGAUGGCAGAAUAUAGUAUUAAUGGUAAGACUGUAGGCAGCGUGGAGGAUCAGAGGCAUCUUGGGGUCCAAGUCCAUAGGACACUCAAAACUGCUACGCAAAUUGACUCUGUGGUUAAGAAGGCAUACAGUGCAUUGGCCUUCAUCAAUCAUGGGAUUGAGUUUAGGAGCCGAGAGGUAAUGUUGCAGCUAUAUAGCAACCCGGUCAGACCCCACUUGGAGUACUGUGCUCAAUUCUGGUCGCCUCACUAUAAGAAGGACGUGGAAACCAUAGAAAGGGUGCAGAGGAGAUUUACAAGGAUGUUGCCUGGAUUGGAGAACAUGCCUUAGGAGAAUAGGUUGAGUGAACUCGGCCUUCUCUCCUUGGAGCAACGGAGGAUGAGAGGUGACUUGAUAGAGGUGAACAAGAUAAUGAGAGGCAUUGAUCAUGUGGAUAGUCAGAGGCUUUUCCCCAGGACUGAAAUGGUUAGCACGAGAGGGCAUAGUUUUAACGUGCUUGGAUGUAGGUACAGAGGAGAUGUCAGGGCUAAGUUUUUAUACGCAGAGAGUAGUGAGUGUGUGGAAUGAGCUGCCAGCGGCGGUGGUGGAGGCAGAAAUGAUAGGGUCUUUUAAGAGACUCCUGGAUGGCUACAUGGAGCUUUCAAAAAUAGAGGGAUAUGGGUGAAGCCUCGGUAGUUCUAAGGUAGGGACAUGUUCGGCCCAGCUUUGUGGGCUGAAGGCCCUGUAUUUUGCUGCAUGUUUUCUAUGUUUCUAUGUUUCUAUUUACCCACAACAUGCUGCCUUUUCUACACUGGGAAGCCCUGCUUAUGCGAUCCAUGGAAGGCCCAUUUAUUACAAUGCCGCUACUAUGGAAACAGUGUUGGAGGUGAGGGAGAAGAGCAGGUGUCCUGGUGAGGUUGAGUGGGCGUGCUAAUCGGCCGCCGCUCCCUGGCGUACUCCUGGCUAACAUUCAGUCCCUGGACAACAAGCUGUGUGAACUGAGAGCCAGUAUAUCCUACCAGUGGGAAACAAAGGAAUGUAACAUUUUGUGUUUCGUGGAUACCGGGCUGUUAGAGGAGAUACCGGAUCACGCCAUCGAGCCCUUUGGGUUCUCCCUGUUCUGGGCGGACAGGUCAAAAACCUCUCUGGGAAGAGUAAAGGAGGUGGGGUAUGCUUCAUGGUCAAUAAUACUUGGUGCGACCCCCGGAAUGUGCAUGCCCUCAAAUCUUUUUGUUCUCCAGAUAUGAAGUACCUCGUGCAGCUGUGUAGACUUUUCUGGCUGCCUAGAGAGUACACAGCUGUUAUUAUCACAGCUGUGUAUAUUCCACCGCAGGCUGAUACUGACCUGUCUCUCACAGAACUGUAUGAGACCAUCAGCACCCUGGAGACCGCACACCCAGAGGUUGCCUUCAUCACCACUGGCUACGCCGACUAAAGUCUCUCCUAAGUCUUGGCAUGGGGAGAUAGCAUACUUGACCACUGCUACUCUCCCUUCUGCAACGCUUACAAAGUGCUCCUUCGUCCACCGUUUGGAAAGUCGGAUCACUCCUCCAUCUUGCUUCUUCCAAUGUACAGGCAGAAGCUAAAACGAGGCGGCCAUAGUUAAAACCGUCCACUGCCGGUCCAACCAAUCAGUCUCCAUGCUAUAGGACUGCUUUGAUGACAUCAACUAGAAUGUCUUUCGUGAUAAGGAUGCCUCUGAGUUCAUGGAUGGGGUCACAAGCUGCUUCGGAAGUGCACCGCGGAUAUUGACCCCAAAAAUCAGUCAGGCUCUAUCCAAAACAGAAACCCUAGAUCAACAGUUCCAUGCGAGCAGCACUUACCACACGAGACAGAACUUAUAUUGCCGGUAACCAACAGGAACUCAAGAAAUGUAGCUACAAUCUACGCGAAGUCAUCAAGGCAGUGAAAUGACAAUACAGGGACAAGAACCAGACACAACUCCCCACCAACAGCUUAUGGCAAGGUCUGCACACCAUCACUGACUUCAAAGCUAAGUGCAAUGGUGCUGCCAACAUCGCUGCCUCUCUCCCAGAUGAGCUAAUACUUUUUUACACUCGGUUCAAUGUUGACAACACCGAGCGUGAGGAGAGCCGCUGAAGUGACCUGCAGCUUGGUCAUCGCUGAGGCUGGAGUACGCAGGUGUUUCCAAUGAGUGGAGAGCCACAAGGCUGAGGAACCAGAUGGUAUCCCAGGGCGGGUACUCAGGAUGUUCACGACACAACUGGCAGAGGUGUUUACAGACAUUCUUAAUCUCUUCCUUUCUCAAUGUAGAGUGCCCUCCUGCUUCAAAACAUCCACUAUUGUUCUGGUACCUAAAAAGACCAGGGUAACAUGUCUGAAUGUCUGGCGUCCUGUCACACUCUCCUCAAUAAUAAACAAAUAUUCUGAGAGGCUGGUCAAGGACUACAUCUGCAGCUUGCUACCACCCACACUGGACCCCCUACAAUUCGCCUACCGACACAACCGAUCGACAGAUGACACAAUAGCCAUUGCUCUACACACCGUUCUUACACAUCUGGAGAAAAAGGAUGCUUAUGUGAGAAUGCUGUUCUUGGACUACAGUUCAGCAUCCAACACCAUAAGUCCCUCUAGGCUUCACGAGAAUUUCAGAGAUCCUGGCCUUCACCCUGCCUUAUGUAGCUGGAUGCUGGACUUCCUGUCAGAUUGCCAGCAGGUGGUAAGAGUGGCCUCCCUUAUCUCUGUCCUCAACACAGGUGCCCCUCAGGUCUGUGUCCUAAGUCCCUUCCUUUUCUCUCUGUAUAGCCAUGACUGUGUAGCCACCCACAGCUCCAAACUGCUAAUUAAGUCUGCUGACAACACUACACUGAUUGGCCUUAUCUCAAAUAAUAACAAGGCACCCUACAGAGAAGGAGUCAACACCCUGACACAGUGAUGUCAAGAAAAUGGUCUCUCCCUCAAUGUCGCAAAAACGAAGGAGCUGGUUGUGGAUUACAGGAGGAAUGGAGACAGGCUCACCCCUAUUGACAUCAAUGGAUCUUGGGCUGAGAGUUCCUCGGCAUACACAUCACCGAGGCUGUCACGUGGUCUCUACAUAGCGGCUGUGUGGUAAAAAAGGCACAACAGCACCUCUUUCACCUCAGAUGGUUGAAGAAGUUUGGCAUAAGUCCCCCAAAUCCUAAGAACUUUCUACAGGGGCACAACUGAGAACUUCCUGACUGGCUGCAUCACUGCCUGGUAUGGGAACUGUACUUCAGUUAAUCACAGGAUUCUGCAGAGAGUAUUGCAGACAGCCUAGCGCAUCUGUAAUUGUGAACUUCCCACUAUUCAGGACAUUUACAGAGACAAAUGUGUAUAAAGGGACUGAAGGAUCAUCGGGGAUCUGAGUCACCCAACCACAAACUGUUCCAGCUGCCACCAUCGGGGAAAUAGUACCGCAGCAUAAAAUCCAGGACCAACAGGCUCCGGGACAGCUUCUUCCACCAGGCCAUCAGACUGCUUAAUUUAUGCUGAUGCAACUGUAUUUCUAUGCUAUAUUGACUAUCCUGUCGUACAUAAUAUUUAUUAUAAAUUACUAUGAUUGCACAUUGCGCAUUUAGACAGAUAUAACGUAAAGAUUUUUACUCCUCAUGUUUAUGAAGGAUGUAAGAAAUAAAGGCAAUUCAAUUCAACAGCCUUUAACAAACUAGAUGAUUUCACAAUCCUCUAAAGGACUUGGUGGACUUCAUUCUCAGGCACACUUUAAGCAGACAAGGGAACAUCGCCACAGCCAAUAGAGAGGGAGGAGGGGAACACUCCAAUCUAGGCUAAAGUGGAGGGGAAUGAAACUUCCUCUACUCAGCAUCUUGUUAGUAAAUGUACAGUCACUGAAGAACAGGACUGAGGACCUAAAGGCAAGAUUGCUGUAUCAGAGGGAAAUGAGGAAUUGCUGUGUUCUCUGUUUCACAGAGAUAUGGCUCACUCCAGGCAAGCCAGUUUCAGCAAUCAGACACAAGGGCUUCUUGACACACAGGAUGGACCAGUUUGCAGAUUCGGAGAAGGCGAAUGAUAGGGGUCUGUGUUUCAUAAUAAGCUCUUUGUGGCGCUCAAAUACGGUGGUCUUGUUGCACUCUUGUUCCCCAACCUGUAACAUCUAAUGAUUAAGUGCCAGUAAUUCUAAUUAAUAAGAGAUUUCUCCUCCAUGAUCUUGACCAUGGUCUAUAUACUGACAAAAACCAAUGUUAAACUCAAUGUAUUGCAUGCUGCCUGUUGAAGAUUUAAUAUUUCAGUAAUAUUUGAGUGAUCUUGUAUUAUAUAUAUAGUUUGAUUAAGCAUUCUUGUUAAUUUAAAGGAUAAUUUAUGGAUUAUAUAUAAAAAUAUAAUUACAUACGUCAUCGCACUACCACAUGAUAUGCGCGUGCCUCGCUUAAAGCAAACUCAAACUACACCCAUAUUUUUGGAUUCCUUUUCUUUGAAUUAAUCUAAUAUUUUAAAGUUACAAAACAUAACAUUAGUGAUGAGGUAGUUUUAAAAUGAACCGGACAUGACUACUGACCUGAUAAAGCAAGGGAGACAUUCAAAAUAAAAUGAAAUGUGCGAGGAAUGGUUGAGUUUAAAAGAAGCACCACAGCACCUGGAGAGACAGCCUUUGGAAGGGAAGGUACAAUUGAAUUUUUUUUUUAAAUAGACCGUGAACAGAAGAAUUCAGGGUUCAGGAAGAGUGAGUACCAGGUGAUAAUAAUCAUAAAAAAAUUGGAAAUGGCUGGCUACAUCGGAAAGAUUGACGAGUUUGAUUACACAACGUGUAACUGGCUCAUGUAUACUGAACUAUUGGGACAGUAUUUUGAAGCAAAUGGAAUAACCUAGUGGAAGUGAGUGCCAAUUUUGCCAGCUGCUUUAGGGUUAAAGGCAUACAGUUUUCUUUGAAGUUUGACUGCCCCAACCAAAACAUCAGAAAUGAGGUUUUCUACUAUUGCAGAAGUGACGCAGGAACACUUAGAACCAAAUACAUUGUUAAUAGCAGAAAGCUUUAGGUUUCAUAAGCAGAAUCAAAAAGAAGGGGAGUCCAUUUCAGUGUACAUGGCUGAAUUGAAGCAAUUAACUGAGGAAUGUCAGUUCAGUAAUGGUCUUAAUGAUACACUAAGACAUCAUUUAAUUUGUGGAAUCUUAAAAGAAAGCAUUCAGAAACUGGUUUCUACUGAAAUACAGCUUACAUUCAAAGAAGCAGUGGAAACUACAGACGGAGACACAAUUAAGUUGCCAUCAGUAAUGAAAGUGAUCAUGAACAAAAUUGCAUUGUCUGAACAGAAACUAGCCUGACCGAAUAAACUGUACUACUGUUGUGGCAGGGGAUCACAUACUGUACACCAAACAAGUGCAGAUUUAAAGGCAAAACUUGCAGAAAAUGCAACAAAGUAGGACACAUACAAAGAGUAUGUCGGGCAGACAAAAAUAAAUGGACCGCUCAGGGAAGGGAAAAAGCUGCAAAGUCAAGCUGUGGUUUCAAAAAGAGCAUUAAACUGCAUGCUGUUGAUGAAAGAUCUGAUAGUGAUGAGAGUGACAUAGGAUUGUGUAGGAGUUUAACAGUGCUUAAUAGGAGUUUAACAGCAUGAAAAUUAACAGACUAGCAAUGUGGAUUAUGCCAGAAGUGAACAGGAAAUUAAUUAAAAUGGAAUUGGACACUGGUUCAGCUGUCUCUGUCAUUCUGCAAAAUGAGUUUGAAUGGCAUUUCAGAGAUACCAAACUGAAGCCUGCAGAUACACAAUUAAGAACUUAUGCUGGAGAAAAGAUAACUCCAGUGGGAAUGACAUUCGUAACUGUGACAUACAGCAAGCAACAAGCCACAUUAGGCUUGUACGUGGUCAGCCAGGACCAGCAUUGUGGGGGUUGUGAUCGGCUGAGUCAACUACAGCUAGACUGGAGACCCACCCACUAUUUGCAUGCCAAACCCUCAGCAAUAAAGUCAACUGCAAGAAAGGUACUGGAUGAUGCCACAACUGCUUCCAUGCCAAACACCACGAACCUUUGCCCAACAGAUGAUGAACAGGUGUUCGUGCCAGCCUCUGUGCCUCUGGUUGGAAAGCUUAUUGGACUAAGGAAGAACCAUGUUGCUCAGCGGAAUUGCAAAAAUGAUGAAAGCAAUAGUCGGACUGCAACAGGAUUUGUUGGCUUCUGAUAUGUUCAUCAGGCAGUUUCUUGCAAAAUGUGACUUGGUUUUAAGCUGGAAGAGAGUUCAGGAAGCUUCAGGAAAGUUGCAAGCAUUCGGCUUUUGUAUGAAGGAGCAGAGGGACUUUGGUGUGUGAAGAUAUCUUUGAAAAUGGCAGGCACGUAUUGAGAAUGGUUGCUAAACCAAAAAGAUUCCUAGGAUUCACAUCCAGAGGCUAACAAGUGGAAAAGAAAGGAGCUCGUGCUGAAUUUGUAAAUUGGUUAGAUUAUUAUCAGAAAACACCAUCCAGUUACCACUUUCCCAGUAGAAGAGAUUUACGAGGAUGUUUCUAGGGAAUACCAGAUGUAAGACUGGACUGGAGAAGCACCAGCUCAUAGUAACGAAGGUUGAGAGCAGAAAUGACAGCUCAAAAUCAGUUUCGAUGUGGGAGAGAGGGGGGAAGCUGUCACCAAGAUCAGAAGAUGUAUAUUCAAUUUGAUGGCCUCAGGUCAUGGAAAACUGUGAUAAAAAGACUUUUUACACUGUUAUGUUCAGUUGCUGAUCUUAGAGACAAUAGGCUGAAUAGCCUCUUUAUAUGCUGGAAUUAUCAAAAGAUUCCAUGAAACACAAAGCAGGUCACACACAGCACCAAGACAAGCAAGUAUUUACAGAACCAUUGUCCAACACACAGAAUGGAUUUAUACUGUAAGUACAUUCUAGAAAUCAAAAACUCUAUCAAUAUUAUCUCUUCAGAUAGAACUGAUGUCUUGUUCUUCGGCUGUCCAUCGAUUUCAAUGUUGACUGUGCUGAGAGUUUAGUCUCUGCAGGCACGUUUAUGGGCCACAAGACCAGCAUUGGAUUGGCACUGUCCCCCACAUCGGUUGCAUUUGUGAUUUGACUAGUCUAGCACCGAAUGUCUGCUUCAUAUUUCUUCUGCCUUUUCUCCUUGGUAGCUGGGAUUGGCUUCUUGACAACGCAGUGCCGACUUCUUCUGUCCAAGGCAUCUUUCUCCCAGCUGUUGACAUUCAUGUCAGUGAUCUUCAUCUGGUGCUUGAGCACAUCUUUGUAGGGCAGAUUCUGACCACCGUGCUUCCUUUUUCCUUCAUGUAGCUCACCAUAGAAAACAGCUUUGGGUAAACAAUCAUCGCUCAUUCUCGUGACAUGACCAGUCCAACACAGCUGAGGAGCUGUAAUGAGCGAUUCUACGCUGACUGCCCCAGCACGUUUGAGCACCUCCACAUCUGGAACCCUCUCUUGCCCCUUGAUGUGUAAUAGCUGUGAAGGUGCUGUUCUACCGGUAUGCAACUAGACGAGAUCUAGCAGUAGGAUCAUGGCUAGCUAAGUCAAGGAGGUGCUGCUCAACCCACUAAGUUCUUUCAACUUGUUGUUCAAGAUUCCAGCAUUUGCACUCUCUUUGGUCUCCAAGAGCUUUCUCUGAUUGGGUCCCUAAGAUUUGGAUGCUAGUUUGGUGUAUCUAGCUGUCUAUGCAUCUAAAAGGGCAGCACAGACUUUGCAAGAACCUUCACAGGAUUCAAACAGCGCUCAGAUCAAGACCAAGCUGAUUUCAGAAAGCUUCAGUUGCUGGGUCAGUCAGGCAUCACUAUGUCACUGGACGUCAGACAUCAUCAAAAUUCUUUCAAGCAGAAGUUUAGAGAAAUGCCAGGAAAUAGCAUUAUGGAAAGUAGAAAGAUGUACGUAACUAAUAGAAAGUUAUUCCAUUUUACUUAUUUAGAAUACCAAAAAAAUCACCAGAAAAAGCUAAUUGAAGGGUUGGUGUAUUGAGAUUACCCACAAUACUGGUACCUUUGAUAGAACUCUCCCUUUAUUGAGAAGCUGAACUCAGUGUUGGAAUCUAUACACAUCCCAAGCUUUUAUAGUGAUGUGAUUACUCCAGCAGUAGACAAAUAUUAAUGUUUUGUGGUAACUGUUGACUGAGGUCAUUUGAACCACCCGGGAUAAGAACUUUAAAUGUUAAACUAUCUGUGGUUUGCCAAAAGGACACCUGGAACUUUACACAACAGUAGUAAAAACUGGUUAAAACAGUGAAUAUUUUUGUUGUAGAGUAAAUGUAGUGUGUAGUGUUGUCUCAAAUGAACUCUGUGUUUCUUGGCAUCACAACAUGUUACAGGAUCAUUCAAAAGGUACAAGCAAGUAUCCCAUAAUAUGCAGAGUGGUUAUUAGACUUGUGCUGGUAUACUUGGCAAAACUCUUAUAAAUGCAUUGUGAUGUAAAGCAAACUAUGCACUGUCAAAUAAAAUUAUAAUCUGGUAUUUUUAGCCCAAUAUAUUAUACGUAAAAUUGUGCAUCAUCACAAUUUAAAAUACAAAUUACUGUACAUGGUUAUCCAUUUUCAGAAUGUGGGCAGCAUUGGCAAGAGCCUGGAGUUUUCACUUUUUAAGUUGCCUUAUCCCAAGGCAGAGCUUUCUUAAACUGCCACAGUCCAUAUGGAUUCAUCAAUCUUUGUAGCAGCUUUAUUUUGCUGCAGAAUAGUUGCAAUCCUGUUGAUGUUCUCUCCAGCUGGCCCUCCAAGAUCUUAACUCAUUCCAUUGACAUCCACACAAUGUACUGCAGGCUUGGUCCCUUUUGAUUUAUUGCUGCCCUGACCUCCCUUUUUAACUGCUUAUGAAAUAGCUAAUGACACUACUGAAAAAAAAACAGGAGAAAUUUUUGUCAUUAACUUUUCCACAGCUGAUGUUCCACAACAGGCCAGCAAUUUUCUGGCUUCUCCUUCGAUAGAUAAUGGUCUGAUGAUCAGAAUAUUUUGAAUUCAACUUCACAAAGAUGGCUUUGUAAGAAUUGCCAACAAGACCAAGGACCAAGGAAUGGGAAGUUGAGAAAAUACACAUCAGUUCUCAUUGAUGGGUCAGAGGUGGAAAGAGUGAGCACCCUCAGUUUCCUGGGCAUCAACAUCCUGAAGGAUUGAUAUGUAUUUAUAAAGAGAGCACACCAAUUACUACCUUGUUCGGGGUUUGAGACUUGCUGUCACAUUAGUGCUUUGCCUUUGAGGUUUAAGAGAUAAAAAGAGAUUGGCUUUUUUUUGUCAUAUGUACAUUGAAACAUUCAGUGCUGUUUAUGUCAAAUCAAAUCAGCAAGGAUUGUGCUUGGCAGCUUGCAAGUAUCACACACACGUCUGGCACCAGUGUAGCAUGCACACAAUUCUCUAACCCUAACUGUAAAUGCUUGGAAUGUGAGAGAACCCAGAGCAAACCUAUGCGGUCAUGGGGAGAAUGUACAGACUCAUCACAGCAAAUGAAGGUGAGAUCUGGUGCUGUAAUAAUGUUACACUAGCCACUAUGCUACCAUGCCACUUCUAAUUCACAGAAUUAGUCAAAUAUGUUGUAACUACUCAGUAGAUAGGCUGCACCAGAAGGAGAAAAGAGUAAAAAUAUUGCUUCUGGUCAAAAAGACAUCUGGGGAAGUUAAAAUAGGAGGGAAUGAGUGCAAUCUGAAUUUACAGGAGAGAGAGCCAAGGAAAACAAACCUGAAUGUUGGAAAUGAGAGGUACAAGGCUGUACAGGCUGAUUAUCUGAAACAGAUUAACUCAACGUUACUGCAAAAAUCUGCAACGUAUGUGAGUGGAAGACAAGGUGGUGUUUUUCAACCUUGUAUUGAGCUUCAUUGGAACUACAUAAGAGACUGAGUGGAGAUGCCAGACAUGGGAGUGAGAUGGAAAAUUAAAGUGAUGGUGACUGGAGUUGGAGGUUCCCAUCACUGGACGACCAUGAAGUUGUUCUGCAUUCACUGCUUGUUUUCAUCAAUGCAGGGAAGAGCAUGACAAGUGAACUUAGUUGUCCUUUCACCUGGUAUUUAGGUCCUGAGGAGCAGAACGGGAAGGAUUAAAAAAAGUAUUGUCUAUCUUCCUUACUAAUAGUCUAGUACUCACAGCCAAAUAUCUCAACUGGAAAUACCAUAGACUUGACAUUAUUAAUGGAUUUGUGGCUACAUUUGCUGAUGAUACAAAGAUAGGUGGGAGAGUGGGUAGUGUAGAGGAAACAGAGAGCCUGCAGAAAGAUUUAGAUAGUUUAGCAGAAUGGGCAAAGUGGCAAAUGAAAUACAAUGUUGGAAAGUGUCUGGUCAUGCACCUUGAUGGAAGUAGUAAAUGGGGAGACUAUUAUUUAGAUGGGGAGAGAAUUCAAAAUGCAGAGAUGCAAAGGGACUUCGGAGUCCUUGUGCAGGAUACCCUAAAGGUUAACCUGCAGGUUGAGUCGGUGGGGAAGAAGGCGAAUGUAAUGUUGGCAUUCAUUUCUAGAGGUAUAGAAUAUAAGAGCAGGGAUGUGAUGUUGAGGCUCUAUAAGGCACUUGUGAGACCACACUUGGAGUAUUAUGUGCAGUUUUGGUCUCUUUAUUUUAGAAAGGAUGUACUGACAUUGGAAAGAGUUCAGAUAAGAUUCACAAGAAUGAUUCCAGGAAUGUAAGGUUACUGUAUGAGGAAUGUUUGGCAGCUCUUUGGCUGUACUGUAUUCCCUGGAGUUCAGGAGAAUGAGGGGUGAGCUCAAAGGAACAUUCCAAAUAUCAAGAGGCCUGAGAAGAUUAGAUAUGGCAAAGUUAUUUCCCAUGGUAGGGGAUUCUAGGACAAGAGGGCACAACUUCAGGAUUGAAGGACGUCCAUUUAGAAAUGAGAUGUGGAGAAAUUACUUUAAUCAGAGGGUGGUAAAUCUGUAGAAUUUGCUGCCACGAGCCGCUGUGGAGGUCAAGUCAUUGGUGCAUUUAAGGCAGAGAUAAAUAGGCUCUUGAUUAGCCAGGGCAUCAAAGGGUAUGGAGAGAAGGCAGGCAAGAGGGCAUGAUUAGAAGAAUUGGAUCAGCCUAUGAUUGAAUGGCAGAGAAGACUCGAUAGGCCGAAUGGCCUACUUCUGCUCUAUAUCUUAUGAUCCAAAUUUUUAUCUGGAGUUAGAGCAAAAUCUGGAUACACAGUCAUGAGUGUAGAUCAAGGGAGUAGAUGAGUGGGGCUGAGGACACAGCCUUGAGGGGUGCCAUCAGGUGCCUAUGAUUAAGCCCGACUGAAACAAGGGACAGCUGGAAGACCCGGAGUCCGGAGUCCAUGGACUGGACCGUGAACCAGAACGCAGACUUCACUGACCAGACCAUGACCCUUGUUCCAGCAAUGCCUCAAGGUUGUCUGGGAAGCUAGAGUUAAUGCAUGCCUUGGUCAGCCUCUUGAAGCACUUCGUGAGGGUGAAAGCCAGAGCCACCAGGUGGUAGUUAUUAAGGCACACUACUUUGCUUUUCUUAGGUACUAGGAUAAUUGUGGUUUUCCUAAAGCAGGCGGAAACCUUAGUUUAGAGCAGGGAGAGGUUAAAAUGUCUGCAAAUACCCUGCCAGCUAAUCUGCACAGGACCUAAGGACAUGCCAGGGACACUAUCUGGGGCAGUUACUUUCCCCAUUCUCUGAAAACCUGAUUUUACAUCCACAAUGAUGACUGUAUGUUCAGAUAGUGUAGAUUAAAGGUUGUUGGAAUGGGUGGUAAUAUGCCAAUUUCCUUCCGUUCAAAAUAUGCAUAGAAUGCAUUAAGCUCAUCAGGAAAGAAUGCACUGUUGAUGGUGAGGUGGCCUCACAUUGUAUUGAAGGCACACAAGUCCUGCCAGCAUGACUGAGACUCUACUGUAGCUUGGACUGUUGUUAUCUCUUGGCAUCCUGUUAGCUUUACAGAGGAGAUAUCUAAAUUUCUUAUAAAGGUGAAACUCACCUGAUUUGAAGUUCAACUUCAAAGUUCAAAAGUUCAAAGUAAAAUUAUCGUCAAAGUACUUGUAUAUCACGAUAUACAACCCUGAGAUUCAUUUUCUUGUGGGUAUACUCAG